rnacentral:rRNA from 1 species
GACGAACGCUGGCGGCGUGCCUAAUACAUGCAAGUUGAGCGCUGAAGGUUGGUACUUGUACCCACUGGAUGAGCAGCGAACGGGUGAGUAACGCGUGGGGAAUCUGCCUUUGAGCGGGGGACAACAUUUGGAAACGAAUGCUAAUACCGCAUAAAAACUUUAAACACAAGUUUUAAGUUUGAAAGAUGCAAUUGCAUCACUCAAAGAUGAUCCCGCGUUGUAUUAGCUAGUUGGUGAGGUAAAGGCUCACCAAUGCGAUGAUACAUAGCCGACCUGAGAGGGUGAUCGGCCACAUUGGGAAUGAGACAAGGCCCAAACUCCUACGGGAGGCAGCAGUAGGGAAUCUUCGGCAAUAGACGAAAGUCUGACCGAGCAACGCCGCGUGAGUGAAGAAGGGUUUCGGAUCGUAAAACUCGGUUGGUAGAGAAGAACGUUGGUGAGAGUGGAAAGCUCAUCAAGUGACGGUAACUACCCAGAAAGGGACGGCUAACUACGUG